CCUACACAGUGCAGGAAAACCAGUUACGAUUUCGUUGGACGAUUUGUGUUCGCUUACAAUUAUUGUUACGUCGACAAUACAAUAUUUUCCUUUUCUGAUCACGACGACAGUACAACCGUAUUGUAAUAAUCGAUUGAUCGAUUCAGUGUUAAUCUAUCUACGGUUUUAUUGAUCGUUAUGCCUAUCGAGUACAAUAUUAUCGCUUAGAGAUCAUUAAGUUAUGAAUAACGUCGUAACGAAGAUCCGAUAGACGCGAACCUACACUGUAUAUGAUUUUUUUGUCGGCGUACCUAUGUGUACACUUAUACAAAACCGUUUAAUAUCUAACGUUUGCAGUGGCGUACUUUGUAGUUUUCAACGGGAUGGGAUGUAUACUGUAUAUAGCGUAUAUGGUUUGUAUAUAGUAUAUAAUGAUUCACGAUUUAUGAACAAGCCGUAGAAUCUUCUUCUGUCAAACACUCUUACACCUAUCCCGACAAUGUGAAUUUAAAAACCGAACCCAAAAACAGCAAAGUUUCUUUCAAUAAAUCAAGAUAUUUUUUACCUUGUGACUUGGCUGAAGUAUAAAACUUCAAGUUGCAAUUACUAAAUAAAUACUGAUCGUUGUUGUAUUUUCGGAACUGUAUUUUUCCCCGUGCUAGUGGGAAAAGAAUAUAACCCCUAAUCCCUCCCUUCUAUCCACGCCACUGAACACGUGUUUAUACGUAGUGAUUUAUUUAUCACGACAUUUUCAAGUAUAAUUUAUUUAAGUAGUUGUAAAACCAGCGUUUUCCAAAUUCGGCCCUUAUCAAAUAUCACGUGCACACCUAAAACACGCAUCGACUUUUAAUUUUGUGAAUAGCAAUAACGUCCUUUCUUUUCACCACAGAUUCGAAUAGAAAAUAUAUUUCUAAAACUUGCAGUUAAAAUACGUAACUCUAUAUGUAUAAAUUAUAAUAACGUAGUAACCGUUAGUGAAUUAUCCCGUUAUUAUAACAGAGUUUAAAUUUGGAAAUUCAUCUGAAAACUCAUAUAAAAUUUAUUUUCUAUACCAAUACACUCGUACAGAGUCUACAUUUUGGACAAGUUGAAAAUCGAAAGUCGAUUGUACGUAUGGCGUGUGUUUGGUGAACGGAAUAAGGGUAACAUUUUUCGAAAAUAUUUAAAAAUAACCCGUUAAACGAGUCGACGGUAUAAUGACCGAGAAAAUGCUGAAAAUCAUUUAAAAUUCGUUAAAAAAAAAAAAACGGUCAAUACAUCAUUCCGCACAUUAUAAUAUAGUUCGCGAGCGGUCCGUGGGUAAUGUGUUGUGGAACUUUGGGGGAGUGAAAACCGUAUUACUAUACCUACUAUAGCUACGACGACGCGUGCGGUUUUACAAUGAUUUAUAAUUCUUUUAAUAUAUACGCUCUCGCGCGAGAGGUAACGCCGCGCAAUUAUAAAACGAUACUCAUUUAAACCGCCGUUUUCGAGAACACUUAACAUGAUUAUUAUUAUACACUAUAGCGUACCGCGGUAGUUUCCGUCGGAUAAAAAAUGUAUGUUCGUAUAACGGAUAACGGGUGUGUAUAGAUCGCGUUGAAAAAAAAAAAAUUACGGCUUUUUCAAUGCGGGGGGAGAGAUAUCGAAUUUGAAAAUUACGGCUUAUCAAACUAAAAAAUUAUAUUUACGUGCGUGUAUCAAUUUUCAAUUCAUAACUUAUUUCUGUAAGUAAUUUAUGUAAUAAUAAUAUUCAUGAAUCUGCCCUACACGGUUCGAAAUCGAAAACUAUAAUACUUAUAAGCGAUAUUAUUACUACCCGACCUCUUUUAUAUACAAUAGUAUCAAUAGCGGUUCUAACGAGUUUCGUCGUUUCAAAUAGAAAAAUGUAUACGUUCUAGUUUUCCUUUUUGUACAUUGACUGUGAUAGGUACCAAUGCACUGCACAAACAUUUUCGAUUUUCCCCGACUAUAUAGAAACACAAAUGAAAAUGUAAAUCUUCUUUAUCCUGCUAGAAAAGUAAUACGAUUUGAAUUUAAAAAAAUAAAAAGUCAUAUGAAUAAUUUAUGAUAAAAAUAAAAAGAGAGAAAUACAUCUGCCUCCUAAUCUCCUCUCUAAAAACGCCGCCGAAUCGCGUUCGACUAAAUACCUAUUAUUGUAUGCAACUUAUUAUUCAUAAGAUUUGAAAAAAAAAAAAAAUUGUUCGAUAAUUUAUUAAUUAUAUUAUAUUAACCUCUCCGGUUUUAUUUCAAUUAGAUUAUAAUAUUAUUAUUUAUUAUUUCAAAACGAAACGGUUCAAUCAUUAUUUUUGCCCGUCGCGAACUACCUGUAUACCUUUACUUAAUAAAAUACAUUUUGUUUUAUUUUAUAUAAAAUUUAACUGUAAUGUGUUUAGAAUACUUCAAGACGUAUAAAUUUCAAUACUACGUUAUCUAUUUAUGUAUAUUAUUAUUAUCUACCGCACUUAAAGUAUUUUUUUUUUCAGAAUUAAUUAUUG
rnacentral:lncRNA from 1 species